rnacentral:sRNA from 14 species
GUCUGGCUGCGAUAUCUGUCACCCUGUUGAUCACUGGGCUUGAUUCAGCUCAUCUGGCGGGCUGCGCACGUGUUCUCCAC